CACAAGGCGGUACCAAGCGAAAGCGUCAGCCAUUCCAACUUGGGGGAGUAACGCGCCAACCGUGAACUCAAAAGGAAAUGACGGGGGCCGCACAAGCGGAGGAAACAUGUGGUUUAAUUUCGAUGAUACGCGAGGAACCUUUACCCGGGCUUGAACUGCAGGGGAACGAUAGAGAGAUCUUGAGGUCAGCAAUGACCCCUGUGGAGGUGCUGCAUGGUUGUCGUCAGCUCGUGCCGUGAGGUGUCGGCUUAAGUGCCAUAACGAGCGCAACCCUUGUCUGUAGUUGCCAUCAGGUGAUGCUGGGCACUCUGCGGAUACUGCCACCGUAAGGUGUGAGGAAGGUGGGGAUGACGUCAAAUCAGCACGGCCCUUACGUCCGGGGCUACACACGUGUUACAAUGGGGUGUACAGAGAGUCGGUGCAUGGCAAUAUGCAACCAAGCGGGAAAAGCACUCCUCAGUUCGGAUUGGGGUCUGCAACCCGACCCCAUGAAGCUGGAUUCGCUAGUAAUAGCGAAUCAGCCAUGGCGCGGUGAAUACGUUCCCGGGCCUUGUACACACCGCCCGUCAAGCCAUGAAAGCCGGGGGCGCCUGAAGUCCGUGACCGCGAGGGUCGGCCUAGGGUGAAACCGGUGAUUGGGGCU
rnacentral:rRNA from 1 species